UACGGGGGGGGCAAGCGUUAUUCGGAAUUAUUGGGCGUAAAGGGCGCGUAGGCGGCUUGAUAAGUCAAAGGUGAAAUCCCUCGGCUCAACUGAGGAACUGCCUUUGAAACUGUCUGGCUUGAGGCCGGGAGGGGGUAGCGGAAUUCCCAGUGUAGCGGUGAAAUGCGCAGAUAUUGGGAGGAACACCAGUGGCGAAGGCGGCUACCUGGACCGGAUCUGACGCUGAUGCGCGAAAGCGUGGGUAGCAAACAGG
rnacentral:rRNA from 1 species